AUGAUCCCUGUGGGAGAGACUGCCCGGCUCGGGCGGCGCCGAAGGAGCAACCGACCCCGGAAACUCUCAGGCAAAAGGACCGCAGGAGGAUU
rnacentral:ncRNA from 2 species